UUUUAAGAUACACAGUUGACGUUUUUCGGACAGGAAACGUCCAAAAUCCUAUUUUUGCGGGAACAUUACUGUCCGGACAAAAUAAAGGCGUGUCGGGAAAUGAUAAGGGCCCUGCUGUGUCUUCCCAGGAAUGGGUGGAUCAGCGACGAGUCCAUCGUCAUCCUCAGACACCACCAACAUGAGAACUGUGCCAAGAACACCACAGGGUUCAUCGUCCGUGCUGUGGAAAGUCCCUUGGAUAAAUCUGAUGCCUAUUGCUACGAUAAGAAUGCUGAUAAGGGCAUGAACUGUUCAAAGAAAAUCGACAGCGGCGAGCCUGCGGAGGAAUCAGACUCAGACGACCUCUCGGACGGAACCAAAGCCCACAACCAGACGAUCGCCUGGGCCUCCACGGACGUCCCGGUGGAUCUCGAGUUCCCGGUCAACGCCACUUCCCAGCCCACCCCGUCCGAGGCGGCGGGUGAGGACACCACCCUCACCCCGAGGGCGAUGGUGACGGGGGGGGAAACGCAGGCCGGGUCUGGCAUGAUGUCCACAACCUCGGAGGAGGAGACGCCCCCCACCACCACCAACUACCCGGAGGAGAUGGAGACCUAUAAGCCCGAGGAGGUUGAAACCACCCCCUCUCACCCCCAGGGGUACACUGAGCCCGAGCCUGAGCCUGAGAGGAAAACGGUGAAGGAUGGGGAGGAAGUUACACUGCCGACUGAGUCCAGGAACAGGAUGAACGCCAUGGCAACGAAAUCUCCAGCUUCAGCCGAGGAAGCCUCGUCAAGCAAGUGGGUGAUCAUUUGUGUGAUUGUUGCCGUGGCCGCAGUCCUUCUCAUCUGUGCAGCCGUCGCUAAGCGAAACAGCUGGUGUGGGAAGCACCAGACCCUGAUGAUCUCCUCCAAGGACAACGGCGGGGGAGGGCAACGGGGCCCCGGCGGUGGUGGCCAGCUCCCGCGCCCAGGAGAGGGAGCAGGAGAUGGUCACCCUCAUGGCCAAGGAGAAGAUCCAGGAGAACGGCAAGGGGGACGAGGAGUUCACCGUCAUCACCCUGGAGGAGUCCUCCGACAAGGAGCGGCAGGGCGCCUGAGGGGGGCCAGCCGGGGGGGGGGUCCCAUGGAGCACCUAGGGGUAGAGGGUAAUAUGGGGAGGGGUGGGGAGGUGAUGGGUUAUGGGAGUAAAAUCCAAGAUGUGAUUACCAAUCUUAUGGUAUCGGGAAGGGUUAUAGGUUGGUGGUUAC
ensembl:lncRNA